AAGAUGUAAAGCUCUCAACUACUGCUCCAGCACCAUGCCUGUCUGUUUCCUGUCCUGAUAAUAGUGGACUAAUGCUCUGAAACUGAUCUCUCACUAGCCUGGAACUUACCAAAUAGGCUUUUUUAAAAAGCAAACAAUGGGCUCAUCUGCCAACCACUGAACCACAUCACCCGGCCUGUUUCCCUGUGUAUCCCUGGCUGUCCUGGGGAUACACGGGGCUGGCCUCAAGCCUGUCUUGUCUCUGCCUCCUGAGUUGCUGGAAUUAAAGGUAUUUAUCUCUACCACCUAGCCAACAUAACAAGUUGUGGUUUUUUUGUUUGUUUUUUUG